AUGGAGGACUUCCGGCAAGAUGGCAACGGGGCAACCUGGUCUGUGAAAACCUCUGCAAAGGAGAACUGCAGUGUGUCUCUGACUCUUGCCCCGGGGGCUACGGACCCUAACAUCGCAGCCCGCUCUUCAUACGGAGCUCGGCUGUUGCCACCUCUGGGGCAUCGCAGCGGUCUGGACAGCCACUGUAGUGCAGAUGCUGCCACUGCAGCCGCUGCAGCCACCGCCACCGCCACUGGUAACACCUCGCACCACCGGGGCCGGAGGCGAUCCACAACUUCAGUCCUUAAAGCCCCUUCAGGGAAAAUCUGCUGGGAUCGCUGCCACCUCUCCUGCAAUCGAGACGUCCUGCCUGCCAUAAGUCUCCUGCCGUCUGCCCUGAGGCAGGCAGCCAUUUUGCCAUCUUCAGCCUCUGCUGUCCCUAAGCUCCCCUUGAUCGCGCUGAGCCCCCUCUCAGCGGCUAGCGCGGGCACCGCCGGAGACAGGGGGGCCGGGGUCGCCGCCCCCUCAGGAGCCACCAUGUUGGUGACACCCCCCCGGACUGAGCGAGGAGGAGGAGGCUCUGCAGAAGAAAUUCAACAAACUCAAGAAAAAGGAAAAGGCGUUGCCGGCUCUGAAGAAGCCAAGUAGCAGCAGCAGCACAGCCCGCCAAGGCGGUGUCAAACGCUCACGGUCAGAGCGGCCUGUGGGAGACCCAGCCCCAGCAACAGAGCGGGCAAAGCAGCUGGUGAGGUCAGGAGCCGUCAGGGCCAUCAAGGCUGAGACCAAGAACUCAGGCUUCAAGCGUUCUCGAACCCUAGCGGGAGAGUUAAAGGACCCUGAGAAGGGACCAGUCCCCACUUUCCAGCGGAAAGCCGGUCUGCUGACGACGACCUGCGGGAGUCAUCCAGACGUCCCCAGAGGAAACCUCCGUUUGAGAGCUUCGUGUCUUCUCGUGAUCGGCCUCGAGAACUGGGGAAGAGACAGAGGGCCCAGGGGCUGGUGAUGGCCCCCCUCGAAGCUUUGACUGGGGCUGUGAAGAACGUAGUGGUGCCGGCUCCUCAGUCUCUCCUCCCGGAAGCCGCAGCAGGGACGGCAGCCAUGAGAGGAACCGGGACAGAGACCGAGAUCGGGACCGGGACCGAGAUCGGGACCGGGACCGGGACCGGGACCGGGACCGGGACCGAGAUCGGGACAGAGACCGAGGUCGAGAGGGCCCUUUCCACGGCUCAGACUCAUUUUCUGAACGCUGGACCCUUCGGAAGGGGAAUGCUCUCUAUGUGUACGGAGAAGACAUGACACCCACCCUCCUCCGUGGGGUCUUUCUCUCUCUUUGGAAAUAUCAUGACCUCUUCAUGGAGCCACCUAGAAACUGUGCCUUCGUCACCGAUGAAAAGAUGGAGUCGGCAGAUCAGGCUGUUGCUGAGCCCAAUGGGACCCAGGUGGAGUCCAUACGGCUCAAAGUCAACAUAGCCCGCAGACAGCCCAGGCUGGACGCUGCUACUGGCCAGUCGGUUUGGGGCUCCCUCGCUGACCAGAACAGCCCUAAGGGUUGCCAACGGGACAAGAGGACCCAGAUUAUCUACAGUGAUGACAUCUACAAGGAAAACCUUGUGGAUGGCUUUUAGGGAAUGGAGUGGGAUUCCUUGUGCCUCAUAUGUCCCAAUGCUGGUCUCAGUAAAACAGAGGUGGAA